ACCCGUUGAUCCUGCGGGAGGUUGCUGCUAUUGGGGUUCGAUUUAGCCAUGCAAGUCUAAUGGUCCUUUCGGGGGCCAUGGCGAAAUGCUCAGUAACACGUUGUUAACUUGGCUUUAGGUCUGGAAUAACCUUGGGAAACUGAGGAUAAUACCGGAUAGAGGAAUUGUUCUGGAAAUGAUUUUUCCUUUAAAGAUUACGCCUAAAGGUAGGACAGCGGCGGAUUAGGUUGUUGGCGGGGUAAUGGCCCACCAAGCCUAAGAUCCGUACGGGCCGUGAGAGCGGUAGCCCGGAGAGGGACACUGAGAUACUGGUCCCAGCCCCACGGGGUGCAGCAGGCACGAAACCUUUACAAUGCACGAAAGUGUGAUAAGGGAACCCCAAGUGCUCAUGUUUACAUGGGCUUUUGCCAAGUGUAAAUAGCUUGGAGAAUAAGUGGUGGGUAAGACUGGUGCCAGCAGCCGCGGUAACACCAGCGCCACGAGUGGGAACCAUGUUUAUUUGGCCUAAAGCGUCCGUAGCUGGUUUAUUAAGUCCUUUGUGAAAUCAUCAAGCUUAACUUGGUGGAUUGCAGGGGAUACUGAUAAUCUAGAGACCGGGAGGAGUCAGGGGAAUUCUAUGGGGAGCGGUAAAAUGCUAUAAUCCUUAGAGGACCACCUGUGGCGAAGGCGCCUGACUAGAACGGAUCUGACAGUGAGGGACGAAAGCUAGGGGAGCGAUCCGGAUUAGAUACCCGAGUAGUCCUAGCCGUAAACGCUGUGAGCAAGGCGUUGCAUAUUCUAUAGGGAUGUGCAGUGUCGAAACGAAGGUGUUAAGCUCACCGCCUGGGAAGUAUGGUCGCAAGACUGAAACUUAAAGGAAUUGGCGGGGGAGCACUACAAGAGGUGCGGCGUGCGGUUUAAUCUAACUCAACGCAGAGAACCUCACCAGAGGCGACGGCAGGAUGAAAGUCAGUCUGAAGGGCUUACUUGACGAGCCGAGAGGUAGUGCAUGGCCGCCGUCAGCUCGUGCUGUAAAGUGUCCUGUUAAGUCAGGUAACGAGCGAGACCUGUGCCCAUAAUUACUAACAGCUAGCUUGCUAGGACUGAGAACCUUAUGGGAACUGCCAUGGAAACGUGGAGGAAGGUGCAGGCAACGGUAGGUCUGUAUGCUCCGAAUCUUCUGGGCUACACGCGCGCAACAAUGGUAAGGACAAUGGGUUGCCACUCCGAAAGGAGAAGCUAAGCCUCUAAACCUUAUCUUAGUUUAGAUUGAGGGUUGCAACUCACCCUCAUGACAACGGAAUCUCUAGUAAUCGGAAGUCAACAUCUUCCGGUGAACACGUCCCUGCUCCUUGCACACACCGCCCGUCAAACCACUCGAGCAGGGUCUAGAUGAAUGCUAGUUUCUUGAUUAGUAUAAAUCUAGGCUCAGUGAGAUGGGUUAAGUCGUCACAAGGUA
rnacentral:rRNA from 1 species